GAAGGGCGGCGCGGACGCCCGGCUCCUGCGAACCCGGUCAGGUCCGGAAGGAAGCAGCCGUAGCGGGAUGCCGGCGGGUCGCGACCGCUCUUCCGC
rnacentral:SRP_RNA from 1 species